GUGCUGGCUUCAGCAGCACAUACACUAAAAUUGCAACGAGACAGAGAAGAUUAGCAUGGCCCCCAUGCAAGGAUGACACGCAAAUUCAUGGAGAAUUCCAUAUUUUU